UGAGGAAUAUUGGUCAAUGGGCGAGAGCCUGAACCAGCCAAGUCGCGUGAGGGAUGACGGCCCUACGGGGUUGUAAACCUCUUUUGCCGGGAGGCAAUGCUCCGCACGAGUGCGGAGCGGGAGAGUACCCGGAGAAAAGCAUCGGCUAACUCCGUGCCAGCAGCCGCGGUAAUACGGAGGAUGCGAGCGUUAUCCGGAUUUAUUGGGUUUAAAGGGUGCGUAGGCGGAACGCCAAGUCAGCGGGUAAAAAAUUCGGGGCUGCAACCCGCAUCCGUCGCUGUCGUGAAACUGGUGUCCUUGAGUGGGCGAGAAGUAUGCGGAAUGCGUGGUGUAGCGGUGAAAUGCAUAGAUAUCACGCAGAACUCCGAUUGCGAAGGCAGCAUACCGGCGCCGCACUGACGCUGAAGCACGAAAGCGUGGGUAUCGAACAGGAUUAGAUACC
rnacentral:rRNA from 1 species